rnacentral:rRNA from 1 species
AGCGAACGCUGGCGGCAGGCCUAACACAUGCAAGUCGAACGAACUCUUCGGAGUUAGUGGCGGACGGGUGAGUAACACGUGGGAACGUGCCUUUAGGAUAGGAAUAACGUUUGGAAACGAACGCUAAUACCGGAUGAGCCCUUAGGGGGAAAGAUUUAUCGCCGAAGGAGCAGCCCGCGUCUGAUGAGGUAGUUGGUGGGGUAAAGGCCUACCACGCCGACGAUCAGUAGCUGGUCUGAGAGGAGGAUCAGCCACACUGGGACUGAGACCCGGCCCAGACUCCUACGGGAGGCAGCAGUGGGGAAUAUUGGACAAUGGGCGCAAGCCUGAUCCAGCCAUGCCGCGUGAGUGAUGAAGGCCUUCGGGUUGUAAAGCUCUUUCGCACACGACGAUGAUGACGGUAGUGUGAGAAGAAGCCCCGGCUAACUUUGUGCCAGCAGCCGCCGUAA